ACAGACUCCCUCGAUCUGUUUCCCAGGAGCCCGCGCGAAAGUCGGUCGUCUCACUAACGAUAAUAUUUGUGAAGAAAUUGUUAAAUUUUCGCCAUGAAUUGUAAUCAGUUCAUGACGAAAAUUUAACAAUUAAUGAACUGACGCGAUAAAUCGUGUGCGUGGAAACUGAUGGCAAGAUGAGGCCCAAGUAAGGGCGGCGGGGCCGUCACCCACAGCGAUAACACUGAAGCAGCUACGCAGCCGAAUGGAGUUAAUGAAGACUUGCCCCCCAACCCCCGCCGCUGAACACGUGAGCAGCACGAACCUACGUCACCGCUGCUCUGCUGCACCUUGUAACACACUAAGCAUAGUGUAGUCACUUUUACAGAUGCCGACACCGAUCAACUCAGAGGUCACAAAGACCUCGCAGAGAGGACGUCGGACACCAUGCUUACCUCCUAGUGGUGUCUCCGCCGUUUCUGCAGAGUGAGCAUCCUCAGCGGUUCGCAGUCAUCAUUAACUCGUGCAUUACAACUGGAACGCUAAUCAGUUCAAAUGCUUUCGUGCUUGCUAUGCAGACAUUAUUUAUCUUGAGUAUUAUCGUUGUUCGUGACGUGCCAACAAUAAAAACAAACUUGUUAUGUACCCGAUUGUGACGAAUUUCCAUUUUUGUGCGCUAUUUUGUCGAUGCUAAUCCAACCAUAUCAUCAGCACAGCGAACUAAAAUGGCUAGCACACAAAACUCUCGUGAUACUGAUGGGAUCGUAAGGUUAUCACGAGCGUUCCACCGGAUUUGACACGGCAGCCAGCUGUCACGUUUGUAACGGCGCGACCAGGACUUCGCAGUGCUCACUCUUAAUAAAUGUUCUGCAUGGGAGUGAGGCGGCGGGCCUUGGUCGAGGCCUAGUGGACCUUGUCUCCUUCGGCAUCACGUGAUGACGCUGAAGGAAGAAUCGGCUUGGCGAUCUGUAGCCUUCUUCCUCGAUUUCUCUAUAUGCCAGGAAGGGAGCUUCAGAGCCAGAUCUUGUGGAGGAUUUCCCGCUGACAGGCGAUGACUGAGGCGACGCCCUAGAUCGCCCUGAUUCGUCUGCCAAUUUUGGACCUUUGGGCUCGGCGAGGGUCACCCUCGACCGUCGUACGACCCCAAAGAGGACAAAAAGGGAUCUGGAUGAGGUUAAGAUCCGCCGACGGGAGGAGGUCAUUUCCUCCCUGAUCUCACCCCGAGGUCCGCGCUUAUACCCCAGAGACUAGGGCAUCUUGUUAUUGUAACCGUAGUCCUGAGGAUGACAUGUUGGAGCGAGCUAACAACAACAACAAUAAUUAUUCUAUCAUAUUUUGCCCUGGCAAUAUGCCGGCUUUUUAUUAAUCACAUGUCUUGAUAGUAGAUAUUUCUAUAUAAAUGUUAUGUGUCUAUUUACUCAACAUAAAAAUACCUGUUUAUCUCGAUCAUGGAACCUAUAUCAAUAUUAUUAUAAUGAAAUAUAUAAUCAACUUAAAGAAGCAUCAAUAAAAGCGGUACCGUUUAUGA